rnacentral:rRNA from 1 species
GACGAACGCUGGCGGCGUGCUUAACACAUGCAAGUCGAACGGCAAGGCCCUGCUUUUGUGGGGUGCUCGAGUGGCGAACGGGUGAGUAACACGUGAGUAUCCGGCCCUUGACUUUGGGAUAACUUCAGGAAACUGGGGCUAAUCCCAGAUCGGAGAUCCUGCUGCAUGGUGGGGGUGGGAACGUUUCGGCGGUUGGGGAUGGACUCGCGGAUUAUCGGCUUGUUGGUGGGGUAGUGGCUUACCAAGGCAUUGACGGGUAGCCGGCCUGAGAGGGUGACCGGCCACAUUGGUACUGAGGUACGGCCCAGACUGGUACGGUGGGCAGCAGGGGGGAAUAUUGCCCAAUGGGCGGAAGCCGGAUGCAGCAACGCCGCGUGCGGGAUGACGGCCUUCGGGUUAUAAACCGCUUUCGCCUGUGACGAAGCUGUAGUGACGGUAAUGGGUAAAGAAGCACCGGCUAACUACGUG